AUAUUCCUGUACCACCUACAAGACUGAUGGAGUGACAAAGAAGGCUAAGCAAAGCCAAUUAUUGGAUUUUGGUCUAAGCACAAAGGCGUGUUGAGUAAGCAAAUCUAUCAACUGUAACGCUGAAGUGUGAUGGGGAAAAAGUUCUACGGAACUUCAACUUUGCUGAAGCCAUGCUUUCAAGAAAAACUUCUAGGGCUAAUCUUGUAGGUGCCUGUACUCAGAACCGACACUGGUAGUCAAGGAGAGAAUCCUAAGGUGAGCGAGAUAACUAUGGUUAAGGAACUCGGCAAAAUGACCCCGUAACUUCGGAAUAAGGGGAGGUGUAGCGAUACACCCUCAGGAAAUAGGUCCAGGCAACUGUUUACCAAAAACACAGGUCUCUGCUAAAGCGUAAGCUGAUGUAUAGGGGCUGACGCCUGCCCAGUGCUGGAAGGUUAAGAGGAGAUGUUAGUUGGACGCAAGUCGAUAACAACGAAGCUUCGAAUUGAAGCCCCAGUGAGCGGCGGCCGUAACAAUAACGGUCCUAAGGUAGCGAAAUUCCUUGUCAGGUAAGUUCUGACCCGCACGAAAGGCGUAAUGAUCUGGAUACUGUCUCAACCAUAGACUCGGUGAAAUCUUAAUACCUGUGAAAAUGCAGGUUACCCGCUACAGGACAAAAAGACCCCGUGGAGCUUUACUGCAACUUGAUAUUGGAAUCAGAUGUAUCAUGUAGAGGAUAGGUGGGAGACUUUGAAGUUAGGACGUCAGUUCUAAUGGAGUCAUCCUUGGAAUACCACCCUUGAUAUGUUUGAUUUCUAACUUGCGCCCAUUAUCUGGGUGGAGGACAGUGUCUGGUGGGCAGUUUGACUGGGGCGGUCGCCUCCCAAAGAGUAACGGAGGCGCCCAAAGGUUCCCUCAGAAUGGUUGGAAAUCAUUCGUAGAGUGUAAUGGCAGAAGGGAGCUUAACUGCGAGACCUACAAGUCAAGCAGAUGCGAAAGCAGGGCAUAGUGAUCUUGCGAUCCCGAAUGGAAGGGUCGUUGCUUAACGGAUAAAAGUUACCCCGGGGAUAACAGGCUGAUCCCACCCAAUAGUUCAUAUAGACGGUGGGGUUUGGCACCUCGAUGUCGGCUCGUCGUAUCCUGGAGGUGGAAUCGCUUCCAAGGGUUGGGCUGUUCGCCCAUUAAAACGGCACGCGAGCUGGGUUCAGAACGUCGUGAGACAGUUCGGUCUCUAUCCGUAGUGGGCGUUAGAAAAUUGAGGAGUGCUUUUCCUAGUACGAGAGGACCGGAAAGGACGAACCGAUGGUGUAUCUGUUGUCACGCCAGUGGCAGUGCAGAGUAGCUAUGUUCGGAAGGGAUAAUCGCUGAAGGCAUCUAAGCGAGAAGCCCUCUCCAAGAUGAGUUUUCUUUAUCUUCAAGAUAUAAGAUCCCUUGUAGACGACAAGGUUGAUAGGUUAGAUGUGUAAGCAUAGUGAUAUGUUGAGCUGACUAAUACUAAUAGAUCAACAAU
rnacentral:rRNA from 1 species